rnacentral:rRNA from 1 species
GAUGAACGCUGGCGGCGUGCCUAAUACAUGCAAGUCGAGCGAACAGACGAGGAUCUUGCUCCUCUGACGUUAGCGGCGGACGGGUGAGUAACACGUGGAUAACCUACCUAUAAGACUGGGAUAACUUCGGGAAACCGGAGCUAAUACCGGAUAAUAUAUUGAACCGCAUGGUUCAAUAGUGAAAGACGGUUUUGCUGUCACUUAUAGAUGGAUCCGCGCCGCAUUAGCUAGUUGGUAAGGUAACGGCUUACCAAGGCAACGAUGCGUAGCCGACCUGAGAGGGUGAUAGGCCACACUGGAACUGAGACACGGUCCAGACUCCUACGGGAGGCAGCAGUAGGGAAUCUUCCGCAAUGGGCGAAAGCCUGACGGAGCAACGCCGCGUGAGUGAUGAAGGUCUUCGGAUCGUAAAACUCUGUUAUUAGGGAAGAACAAAUGUGUAAGUAACUAUGCACGUCUUGACGGUACCUAAUCAGAAAGCCACGGCUAACUACGUG